ensembl:miRNA
UUGGGUGUUCAAAAGGUGGAUAUUCCUUCUAUGUUUAUGUGAUUUAUGGUUAGCCGUAGGGGAAAAUCCACAUUUUUAGUAUC